rnacentral:rRNA from 1 species
CACGUAGGGGGGCGAGCGUUGUCCGGAUUUAUUGGGCGUAAAGAGCUCGUAGGCGGCUCAGUAAGUCGGGUGUGAAAACUCCAGGCUCAACCUGGAGACGCCACCUGAUACUGCUGUGGCUAGAGUCCGGUAGGGGAGCAUGGAAUUCCUGGUGUAGCGGUGAAAUGCGCAGAUAUCAGGAGGAACACCCGUAGCGAAGGCGGCACUCUGGGCCGAUACUGACACUGAGGAGCGAAAGCGUGGGGAGCGAACAGGA